ACUGCACACAUUAGACGGGUCUGACACAAGCACUCUUAACAUAACAGGAAGUCACAUUAGACCAACCACAUAGAGGCUUACUGGAAGCUUCUCAAUAGGAGAGGCAGCAACAUGAAGCUACAAAAAUCCAGCAGAGGAAUGUACUCUUGCUUUACUUUUAAUUUCAGAUAGUUGUUUAUGAAAAUGCGGACACUGUAUUUUGUUGUUCAAGCCUUUUCUAAAGUUGUGAUUUAUGAAUGGCUGGCAAAAUUGGUUUGUUUCUAGUUAUGAAAUGCUCGACGUGGAAGAACAGAGGCAAGCCUUGAUUCCUCCACAUCUUCUCUCAUCGCCUCCUCAAAACAUAUUUGUGAAGGUCUGAGGGGAGGGACCUUGGAACUUCUUCUCCUAUACGGUUGAGAAGGAGCAGCAAUCAGAUAAUCUGAUUACGGUGGAAUAACUGGAAUCGCAUGAGACCGUUAUGGCUGCAGACACAAUUGAUGUGGAAAUAUCUGCAUUGGACCAGAUAGCCCUCCGGUCCUUAAUAGAAGAACAUCUUCUUUCAUCAACAGGUUACAUAUUAUAACCAGUGGUGUUAAUUCAUGGUUGCAAAUAUUUGACCAAUAAA
rnacentral:lncRNA from 1 species